AUUGAACGCUGGCGGCAUGCUUUACACAUGCAAGUCGAACGGUAACAGGCCUUCGGGUGCUGACGAGUGGCGCACGGGUGAGUAAUGCAUCGGAACGUGCCCAGAGGUGGGGGAUAACGCAGCGAAAGCUGUGCUAAUACCGCAUGUGAUCUGAGGAUGAAAGCGGGGGACCAAGCAGCAAUGUUUGGCCUCGCGCCUCUGGAGCGGCCGAUGUCAGAUUAGGUAGUUGGUGGGGUAAAGGCCUACCAAGCCGACGAUCUGUAGCUGGUCUGAGAGGACGACCGGCCACACUGGAACUGAGACACGGCCCAGACUCCUACGGGAGGCAGCAGUGGGGAAUUUUGGACAAUGGGCGCAAGCCUGAUCCAGCAAUGCCGCGUGCGGGAAGAAGGCCUUCGGGUUGUAAACCGCUUUUGUACGGAACGAAAAGGCUCUGGCUAAUACCUGGGGCUGAUGACGGUACCGUAAGAAUAAGCACCGGCUAACUACGUG
rnacentral:rRNA from 1 species